UACGAAGGGGGCUAGCGUUGCUCGGAAUCACUGGGCGUAAAGGGCGCGUAGGCGGCGUUUUUAAGUCGGGGGUGAAAGCCUGUGGCUCAACCACAGAAUGGCCUCGAUACUGGGACGCUUGAGUAUGGUAGAGGUUGGUGGAACUGCGAGUGUAGAGGUGAAAUUCGUAGAUAUUCGCAAGAACACCGGUGGCGAAGGCGGCCAACUGGACCAUUCUGACGCUGAGGCGCGACAGCGUGGGGGAGCAAACAGGAUUAGAGUACCCUGG
rnacentral:rRNA from 1 species